rnacentral:tRNA from 1 species
GCCCCAAUAGUUCAAUGGAUAGAACAAUUGCCUUCUAAGCAAUCAGUCCAGGUUCGAUUCCUGGUUGGGGUA